GUAGGUACUUACAUUGUUGAACAAGUUGUUGAAUAACAAAUCCAUAGAACAAAUCAACCACCUAAUUUGCUGUGAUAUAUAAUAUGAAUACAGAAAAACAUGAUAAAUUCAGCUACAAAGAAAUACGAAGUUUUCGUGCACCUUUCUAAAAAUAUUCAAUUUCAGCAUUUUAAGUGAUUUGUCGUGCAUUUUUCAGCAACUUAGCAAGAUUUUAACUCUCUUGUAGGUACUUAGAUGUGAAAAUAUUGUGUUGUGCCUUUCCACAUAAAGAAUAUUGUGAAAAUGAUAGCACCCAGUUUGAUGACCUUUCGGGUCCAUCAGUUUUUUUGGAUUAACGAUCCAAAAAAGUAACGGUACAGUGAAAACUGGCACAGUUGAUGUUUAUGUUAACGAUUGCAACACUGCAGAAAAUUAUAUUUAACCUAAACCAGAAAACUUAACGGACAGUUCACGAAAAAACAAGAUAAGUGUCACGAGACAAAUGCUAGUACUCAUGUAGAUGGAAAAGCACAAUCUAUUUAAUGUGAGAUAUGUCAGAGGUGCAAUCAAAGAUUCUCAAAUCCGUCUGAUUUGAAGUACCAAGUGGAAACCCUAACUGAGGAGAAAUCGUUCAAAUGUGAUCAGUGUAAACGGACAUACAGUCGAAAAACCAUCCAUACUAAUAUUAUAAAUGCGAAAGUGUUCCUGUCUGUCUGUUACCUUUUCACAGCCCAACAGUUGAACCGAUUCUGAUGAAAUUUAGUACAGGGUUAGCUUAUAUUAUAUCUACCUAAAUCCACGCGGACGAAGUCGCGGGCAUCCUCUAGUAUUUCUUAAACACAUGAUGGGUCAUAACAGUGAUGCUCCUGAACCAAUUGUUACUUGUGACAUUUGCAAUCAAAGUUUUAACCAAAAACAGGAUUUAGUCAGACAUAUAGACACUGUACAUUCUACUGAAAAAAAUGUUCAAACUGAAGCUCCGUUCACUUGUAAAGUUUGCAACCAUAUAUUUCAACGUAAAUGCGAAUUCAUCAUUCAUAGAAAAUCACAUUCCCUUAGAAACUAUGCGUGUGAAAUAUGCAAAAGAAGUUUUAAACAUGAGGGUAGUUAUAAAAUUCAUAUGGACAAACAUUCUUCGAAUAAACCGGUAAUAUUACAUAUUUGUAAGAUAUGCCACUAUGAGUUUGGACAUCACAAAGCGUUGGUUAAUCAUAUGAGACUUCACACGGGUGAAAAACCUUUUGAAUGUAAGACGUGUGAUAAAAAAUUCGCUUUUAAAGUGUCUUUGGUGAGACACUAUUGCAUUGAUGGUGAGCAGCCUUACAUGAGGAAAGUGACCAUAGAGAAACCAAAAGUUUGUGAUGUAUGUCACGCUCAAUUCAAAAGUGAGGUUAAUUUGGCUAAACAUAUGAGUAUGCAUGCAGGCCAUAAACCAUUUACAUGUAACAUCUGUGAGAAACAAUUUGCUUUUAAAGUCGCUUUAGUCACACAUGUCUGUAUUAAUGGUGACAAACCUUACAUGAUAAAGACUGAAAACCAUAGAGUUGUGAAAUCUAUGGAACCCAUAGAUAAUAUAAAAAUUGUUAAAGUAGAAAGUAUUGAGACAGGGACAGAUAUAGAUGCGAAGGAUAGGGUAGAGAUAAAGAUAGAAAGAGACGAAUUGGAGUCGGGAGAUAUAGGUAUAGCAGAAAUAAAGAUAGAAGCAAUUAAGACAGAAAUUAAAAAGGAGUACUAAAU